rnacentral:lncRNA from 1 species
UUCUUCACAAGGAAUCACCCCUUCUUUCUUUCUCAAAAUCCGGCGAGGUCGCCGCCCUAUAGUCCGGCGAAGCCAACGCCUUCAUCGGUUCUCUCUCUUUCUGUUCAUCCCACUUCACUGAAACUCCGCUCACAAAACAGAUGGUCCGCCGCCCCUAUUCCGAAAUCCGGCGAGUAAGGUCGAUAUCGACCAUUAGCAACCCCCAAACCCAUCGACUCUGAACCUUACCUCCUACCCCACGUCGACAGCCACCAAACACCUCUUUUCCCCUGCCAACGCCCC